UACAGAGGGUGCGAGCGUUGUUCGGAAUUACUGGGCGUAAAGGGCGCGUAGGUGGCCUGCUAAGCGUGCGGUGAAAGCUCGGGGCUCAACCCCGAGUCGGCCGUGCGAACUGGUGGGCUUGAGCACUGUAGAGGCAGGCGGAAUUCCGGGUGUAGCGGUGGAAUGCGUAGAGAUCCGGAAGAACACCGGUGGCGAAGGCGGCCGUGCUGGGCAGUGAGCUGACACUGAGGCGCGACAGCGUGGGGAGCAAACAGG
rnacentral:rRNA from 1 species